rnacentral:misc_RNA from 1 species
AUCCAGGGAGUCUGCCAUGGCUGAGUUCGAUGCUGUUUAUGAAUACAAGUCGUUGCCCAGGUCGCACCAAUGCGCUGUGUGCUUCUGCCCCACCACUACGCGCUGCUCCCAAUGUAAAUCUGUCCAUUACUGUUCUGGUAAGUGUCAAAUAAUUCACUGGAGACGAGGUCACAAGGACGAAUGUCGACCCCUAGCUACUGCAUUGCAUUUGAAACAGGG